rnacentral:sRNA from 14 species
UUGGACUACGCUAAUAGUCUAAGUCCUUAACUGGACUACGUUAUUAAGGUGAUGACACCUGUGGAUACUCCUCUAGUCUACGGCUCUGUC